rnacentral:rRNA from 1 species
AGUUCGAUCAUGGCUCAGAUUGAACGCUGGCGGAUGUUUUUACACAUGCAAGUCGAACGGCAGCACGGACUUCGGUCUGGUGGCGAGUGGCGAACGGGUGAGUAAUGUAUCGGAACGUGCCUAGUAGCGAGGGAUAACUACGCGAAAGCGUGGAAGCAAUAAUGCAUACUGCCCUUCGGGGGAAAGCGGGGGGACCUCGGGCCUCGCACUAUUAGAGCGGCUGAUAUCGGAUUAGCUAGUUGGUGGGGUAACGGCUCACCGGCGACGAUCCGUAUGCUGGUUUGAGGACGACCAGCCACACUGGGACUGAGACACGGCCCAGCUCCUACGGGAGGCAGCAGUGGGGAAUUUUGGACAAUGGGGGAAACCCUGAUCCAGCCAUCCUGCGUGUGCGAUGCGAAGGCCUUCAAGCUGUAAAGCACUUUUGGCAGGAGGAAGAAACGGCACGGGAUAAUACCCCGUGCAACUGACGGUACCUAAGAAUAAGCACCGGCUAACUACGUGCCAGCAGCCGCGGUAAUACGUAGGGUGCAAGCGUUAAUCGGAAUUACUUGGCGUAAGCGGCGCAGCGUUCUCGGAAAGAGGAUGAACCCAGCCAAUCCGAACCCGCAUUUAACUACUCCGGCCGAGUAAACAGAGGAAGAAUCUGCGUGAGCAGUGAAAUCAUAGAUAUGCGGAGGAAAUCACCGACGGCAGAAGUGGCAUCUCCUGAUGAACACGACGUUCAUGCCGCACUGAAAAGGUAGCAAACAGAUUGAUACCUGAAGAACACGUUCACACCGAACGAUGUGUCAACCAUCAGUUAACCUUCGAGCCUUGUGCGCAGCGAUCGCAAGAAGUUGAUCGCCUGGGGAGACAAUGCAAGAUUAGUAACUCAGGAAUUGACGAGACUAUAAUAAGGUGAUGAUGUGAUUAAUUCGAUGCAACGCGAAACCUGCUCUACCCUUACAUGUCUGGAAUCCCGAAGAGAUUUGGGAGUGCUCGCAAGAACCGGAACACAGGUGCUGCAUGGCUGUCGUCAGCUCGUGUCGUGAGAUGUUGCCGGGUCCCGCAACGAGCGCAACCCUUGUCAUUAGUUGCUACGAAAGGGCACUCUAAUGAGACUGCCGGUGACAAACCGGAGGAAGGUGGGGAUGACGUCAAGUCCUCCUGGCCCUUAUGGUAGGGCUUCACACGUCAUACAAUGUCACUGGGACAGAGGGUCGCUAACCCGCGAGGAGCCAAUCCCAGAAACCCGAUCGUAGUCCGGAUCGCAGUCUGCAACUCGACUGCGUGAAGUCGGAAUCGCUAGUAAUCGCGGAUCAGCAUGUCGCGGUGUGCAAUACGUUCCCGGGUCUUGUACACACCGCCCGUCACACCAUGGAGUGGGUUUUACCAGAAGUAGUUAGCCUAACCGUAAGGAGGGCGAUUACCACGGUAGGAUUCAUGACUGGGUGAAGUCGUAACAAGGUAA